rnacentral:tRNA from 1 species
AGAAAGUUAGUCUAAUUAAGACAGCUGAUUUCGGCUCAGCAGAUUAUAGAGAAUACUAUAACUUUCUU